rnacentral:tRNA from 1 species
GGCCAGUUAGCUCAGUUGGUUAGAGCAUGGUGCUGCACACCAAGGUUGUGGGUUCGAACCCCGCUCGGUCCC